rnacentral:rRNA from 1 species
CAGUCGCCGCGGUAAUACGAAGGGGGCUAGCGUUGUUCGGAAUCACUGGGCGUAAAGGGUGCGUAGGCGGAUCCUUAAGUCAGGGGUGAAAUCCCGAGGCUCAACCUCGGAACUGCCUUUGAUACUGGGGAUCUUGAGUCCGGAAGAGGUGAGUGGAACUGCGAGUGUAGAGGUGAAAUUCGUAGAUAUUCGCAAGAACACCGGUGGCGAAGGCGGCUCACUGGUCCGGAACUGACGCCGAGGCACGACAGCGUGGGGAGCAAACAGGAUUAGAUACCCCUGUAGUCCCUGUCUCUAUACA